CCCUUAGAUGUCCUGGGCCGCACGCGCGCUACACUGAACGGCUCAGCGCGUUUUCCCUUCCCGAGAGGGACGGGUAACCUGCUGAACCCCGUUCGUGGUAGGGAUCGGGGCUUGCAAUUAUUCCCCGUGAACCAGGAAUGCCCAGUAAGUGCAAGUCAUAAGCUUGCGUUGAUUACGUCCCUGCCCUUUGUACACACCGCCCGUCGCUACUACCGAUUGAACGUUUUAGUGAGGUACUCGGACUGAGCCUCAGAAGAUUCACGUCUUUUGUGCUGCUCGGGAAGAUUCCCAAACUUGAGCGUUUAGAGGAAGUAAAAGUCGUAACA
rnacentral:rRNA from 1 species